UGCGUAGGCGGUCUUUUAAGAUAGAAGUGAAAUCCUUAGGCUCAACCUAAGAACUGCUUUUAUUACUGAAAGACUUGAGUGAUGGAGAGGUAAAUGGAAUUCCUAGUGUAGCGGUGGAAUGCGUAGAUAUUAGGAGGAACACCAGAGGCGAAGGCGAUUUACUGGACAUUAACUGACGCUGAGGCACGAAAGCGUGGGGAGCAAACAGGAUUAGAUACCCUGGUAGUCCACGCCGUAAACGAUGGAUACUAGUUGCAGGAAGUAUCGACUCCUCCUGUGACGUCGCAAACGCAAUAAGUAUCCCGCCUGGGGAGUACGGCCGCAAGGUUGAA
rnacentral:rRNA from 1 species